CUGCAUUGCAACAGUGGCUACUCUCCAGAUGUACUUCAUUGACUAGAGCACCUUGGGACAUGCUGGAUCACGGAAAGUGCGUCUGUUCAUUAAUAACAAAAUUUCCCACUCAGCCAAGCCAACUGCAGACGUCUAGGUUGGCUAGACCUACAACUCUAAAUGGUGGGAUUGGGCGAAAUGGGAGAGAGAAUUUCAUCGACUACCCCCUGGAUGGUUAUCAGAAACAGGAAUCUUGGCUGGUUCUAACAUUCUCUUGGAAAGGAAAUGAAGGUGCCGGAGAGGGUGCACGUUUACAAGAAAGUUCCCGAGGAUAAGGAAUUAGAAGAUGUAUGGUGGAGAGCAUUCUGACUGGUUGCAUCACUGCCUGGUAUGGAGGCUCCAAUGUACAGGAUCGAAAGAGGCUGCAGAGGGUUGUAGACUCAGCGAGCUCCAUUACAGGCAUAACCUUCCCCGCCAUCGAGGACAUCUUCAAGAGGCGGUGCCACAAGAAGGCAGCAUCCAUCAUUAAGGACCCUCACCAUCCGGGACAUGCCCUCUUCUCAUUACUACCAUCAGGGAGGAGAUACAGGAGCCUGAAGACCCACACUCAAUGUUUCAGGAACAGCUUUUUCCCUUCCUCCAUCAGAUUUCUGAAUGGUCCAUGAACCCAACCCCAUUAUUUCUCUUUUGCACUAUUUAUUUACUUUUGUAACGUAUAGUAAGUUUUAUGUCUUGCACUGUACUGCUGCCACAAAACAACACAUUUCAUGACAUAUGUCAAUGAUAAUAAACCUGAUUCUGAUUUGUCUUGAUGUCCUAAAGGGGUUUACAUCCAAAGAGGCACUUUUGAAAUGUGUCUGCUGAUAUGACAUAGGAAACUUGUCGGAAUCCUGCUCUCUCUUGUUAGUUCCAGAUCAUCCUGGUCCCACCUGCCUUGAGAGUACUUGAUGUUGCCAGUGGAUGAAAGCACAAAUUAAAGGUCCCCUUCUCUGUCACUGUCACUCUUCAGUUUAAUGAGGAAACGAACAAAAGAAACCAAUUAUUUUUGGUGAACUUGGAGCACUGUAGCUUGAAAUCUUUUGCGAGACAUCAUGAGCUGCUUCCAAGUCACAAUUGUCUAGCAUGCAGCACAAAGUCAUGUUCAACGAUCCAAGAAAAGUCAUUUCAUUAAUUGCCAUCCCAGAGCAGGGAAAUUCAAUUUCUAUGCAAUCUAAUUCAAUUUAAUUCUGCACUGUGCCACUUAUCUCCUGCAGUAAUUGUCAAGGCCAAUCAAAGGAAAGGAAAACAGACUAUUCCAACUGCACAAAGAAUAAUUUGGGCUCCUGGAACUUGAUUUGCAAAUCUGGAUUUACUCUUGCCAAGUGAUGGAAGGCCAAAGAUAAAUCUAAAUAAAAAUACCACGACUGUUUUAAGUUAUUCAUCAAUUCUUCAGCCGUGUGAAAUGCUUCACCCAAAGCUGUAAGAAUAACAACCUUCAUUCUUACCAAGUGGGAGUCAAAGCUUCACUCAGAGCUGUAGAAAUCAUGAUUCUGUGUCCAGUGUCAGUGAAUUCAUCUUCAAAUCCUAUUUCCCACCAACUGCACGAGGAGCCUCAGACACUGCUCUAACCUGCUCACUCACUUACCGCCACCCCAAUUAAUCAGAACUGACCACUUUGCAGGACUCCUCUGUUCAAUCCACAAGGGUGACCCUGAGCUUCCAGCUGCCUGUCACUUUAAUUCCCUGCCCCACACCCACUCUGAACUCCCUUUCUUUGGCCUUCUGCACUGUUUCUAAUGAAGCUCAAUGCAAGUUUGAGUUACGUAGAACAUAGAACAUUACAGCACAGUACAGGCCCUUUGGCCCACGAUGUUGUGCCGACAUUUUAUCCUGCUCUAAGAUUUAUCUAACCCUUCCCUCCCACAUAGCUCUCCAUUUCUCUAUCAUUCAUGUGUCUAUCUAAGAGUCUCUUAAAUGUCCCUAAUGUAUCUGCCCCCACAACCUCUGCAGGCAGUGCGUUCCACGCACCCACCACUCUCUGUGUAAAAAACUUACCCCUGGCAUCCCCCCUAUAUGUUCCUCCAAUCA